GUGGGAUACGGGGACGUGGCUCCGAAGACCUAUCCGGGGAUGUUCGUGGGUGCGCUGUGUGCAUUGGCCGGAGUGCUGACCAUCGCCCUGCCAGUGCCAGUCAUCGUCAGCAAC
rfam:Drosophila ficusphila unplaced genomic scaffold scf7180000454076, whole genome shotgun sequence